GGUUGUCGUCAGCUCGUGUCGUGAGAUGUUGGGUUAAGUCCCGCAACGAGCGCAACCCUCAUCCUGUGUUGCCAGCGCGUAAUGGCGGGGACUCACAGGAGACUGCCGGGGUCAACUCGGAGGAAGGUGGGGAUGACGUCAAAUCAUCAUGCCCUUCGGUCUUGGGCUUCACGCGUGCUACAAUGGCUGGUACAGAGGGUUGCAAUAUCGCAAGGUGGAGCGAAUCUC
rnacentral:rRNA from 1 species